UAGCCUAGUGGUUAAGGCUAUGGAUUGCCAAUCCGGAGACGGUGGGUUCGAUUUCCGU
rnacentral:tRNA from 1 species